rnacentral:rRNA from 1 species
AUCAAGUGCCUUAAGAGCAUUCGGUGGAUGNCUUGGCGCUGAGAGCGAUGAAGGACGUGUACGCUGCGAUAGCCUUGGGGAGCUGCGACGAGCUUUGAUCAG